AACGAACGCUGGCGGCAGGCCUAACACAUGCAAGUCGAACGCUCUAGCAAUAGAGAGUGGCAGACGGGUGAGUAACGCGUGGGAAACUUCCUAGGGGUACGGAAUAGCUCAGGGAAACUUGGGGUAAUACCGUACGAUGCCGUAAGGCCAAAGAUUUAUCGCCCUUAGAUGUGCCUGCGUCGGAUUAGCUAGUUGGGGAGGUAAUGGCUCACCAAGGCGACGAUCCGUAGCUGGUUUGAGAGAAUGACCAGCCACACUGGGACUGAGACACGGCCCAGACUCCUACGGGAGGCAGCAGUGGGGAAUCUUGGACAAUGGGCGCAAGCCUGAUCCAGCCAUGCCGCGUGAGUGACGAAGGCCUUAGGGUUGUAAAGCUCUUUUGCCGGGGACGAUAAUGACGGUACCCGGAGAAUAAGUCCCGGCUAACUUCGUGCCAGCCGCCGCCGUAACAC
rnacentral:rRNA from 1 species